rnacentral:rRNA from 1 species
CCUAACACAUGCAAGUCGAGCGGUAGAGAGAAGCUUGCUUCUCUUGAGAGCGGCGGACGGGUGAGUAAUGCCUAGGAAUCUGCCUGGUAGUGGGGGAUAACGUUCGGAAACGGACGCUAAUACCGCAUACGUCCUACGGGAGAAAGCAGGGGACCUUCGGGCCUUGCGCUAUCAGAUGAGCCUAGGUCGGAUUAGCUAGUUGGUGGGGUAAUGGCUCACCAAGGCGACGAUCCGUAACUGGUCUGAGAGGAUGAUCAGUCGCACUGGAACUGAGACACGGUCCAGACUCCUACGGGAGGCAGCAGUGGGGAAUAUUGGACAAUGGGCGAAAGCCUGAUCCAGCCAUGCCGCGUGUGUGAAGAAGGUCUUCGGAUUGUAAAGCACUUUAAGUUGGGAGGAAGGGCAGUAAAUUAAUACUUUGCUGUUUUGACGUUACCGACAGAAUAAGCACCGGCUAACUCUGUGCCAGCAGCCGCGGUAAUACAGAGGGUGCAAGCGUUAAUCGGAAUUACUGGGCGUAAAGCACGCGUAGGUGGUUCGUUAAGUUGGAUGUGAAAUCCCCGGGCUCAACCUGGGAACUGCAUUCAAAACUGACGAGCUAGAGUAUGGUAGAGGGUGGUGGAAUUUCCUGUGUAGCGGUGAAAUGCGUAGAUAUAGGAAGGAACACCAGUGGCGAAGGCGACCACCUGGACUGAUACUGACACUGAGGUGCGAAAGCGUGGGGAGCAAACA